AGUGAACGCUGGCGGUAGGCCUAACACAUGCAAGUCGAACGGCAGCACAGUAAGAGCUUGCUCUUACGGGUGGCGAGUGGCGGACGGGUGAGGAAUACAUCGGAAUCUACUUUUUCGUGGGGGAUAACGUAGGGAAACUUACGCUAAUACCGCAUACGACCUACGGGUGAAAGCAGGGGAUCUUCGGACCUUGCGCGAUUGAAUGAGCCGAUGUCGGAUUAGCUAGUUGGCGGGGUAAAGGCCCACCAAGGCGACGAUCCGUAGCUGGUCUGAGAGGAUGGUCGGCCACACUGGAAGUGAGCCACGGUCCAGGCUCCUACGGGAGGCAGCAGUGGGGAAUAUUGGACAAUGGGCGCAAGCCUGAUCCAGCCAUACCGCGUGGGUGAAGAAGGCCUUCGGGUUGUAAAGCCCUUUUGUUGGGAAAGAAAAGCAGCAGGUUAAUACCCCGCUGUUCUGACGGUACCCAAAGAAUAAGCACCGGCUAACUUCGUG
rnacentral:rRNA from 1 species